rnacentral:rRNA from 1 species
AGAUUGAACGCUGGCGGCAGGCCUAACACAUGCAAGUCGAGCGGUAGAGAGAAGCUUGCUUCUCUUGAGAGCGGCGGACGGGUGAGUAAUGCCUAGGAAUCUGCCUGGUAGUGGGGGAUAACGUUCGGAAACGAACGCUAAUACCGCAUACGUCCUACGGGAGAAAGCAGGGGACCUUCGGGCCUUGCGCUAUCAGAUGAGCCUAGGUCGGAUUAGCUAGUUGGUGAGGUAAUGGCUCACCAAGGCGACGAUCCGUAACUGGUCUGAGAGGAUGAUCAGUCACACUGGAACUGAGACACGGUCCAGACUCCUACGGGAGGCAGCAGUGGGGAAUAUUGGACAAGUGGGCGAAAGCCUGAUCCAGCCAUGCCGCGUGUGUGAAGAAGGUCUUCGGAAUUGUAAAGCAACUUUAAGUUGGAAGGAAGGACAAUAACCUAAUACGUUAGUUGUUUGUAACGUUACCGACAGAAUAAGCAACCGGCUAACU